GGUGACGUAGGAAAGUGGUCUAAUCCGCCAGAUUUAGGAUCAUCGCAUCCAAAACUCUGGUCCUUCGGGGCGAGGGUUCGAACCCCUCCGUCAUCA